UACGUAGGGUGCAAGCGUUGUCCGGAAUUAUUGGGCGUAAAGAGCUCGUAGGCGGUUUGUCGCGUCUGCUGUGAAAAUCCAGGGCUUAACCCUGGACCUGCAGUGGGUACGGGCAGACUGGAGUGCGGUAGGGGAGAUCGGAAUUCCUGGUGUAGCGGUGAAAUGCGUAGAUAUCAAGUGGAACACCAGUGGCGAAGGCGAGUCCCUGGACAUUUCCUGACACUGAGGCACGAAAGCUAGGGGAGCGAACAGG
rnacentral:rRNA from 1 species